rnacentral:rRNA from 1 species
AGUGAACGCUGGCGGUAGGCCUAACACAUGCGAGUCGAACGGCAGCACAGUAAGUGCUUGCUCUUACGGGUGGCGAGUGGCGGACGGGUGAGGAGUACAUCGGGAUCUACUUUUUCGUGGGGGAUAACGUAGGGAGACUUACUCUAAUACAGCAUACGACCUACGGGUGAGAGCAGGGGAGCUUCGGGCCUUGCGCGAUUGUAUGAGCCGAUGUCGGAUUAGCUAGUUGGCGGGGUAAAGGACCACCAAGGCGACGAUCGGUAGAUGGUCGGAGAGGAUGAUCGGCGACACUGGAGCUGGGACACGGUCAAGAGUACUACGGGAGGCAGCAGUGGGGAAUAUGAGACAAUGGGGGCAAGCCUGAUCCAGCGAGACCGCGUGGGUGGAGAAGGCGUUGGGGUGGGAAAGCCGUUUUGUGGGGAAAGAAAAGCAGUAGGUUAAGACGAAGCUGUUGUGACGGUACCUAAAGAAUAAGCACCGGCUAACUUCGUG